GGGGGUGCUGCAGUAACACAGACCUAAGAAUGUGGAAGCAGCUCGGGAACUCAGGGGUUGCAAGUUUUGCGGCGGCUGCUAGAAAAAGCCCCCACUGCCAUGAACAGACCGUGACGGGGAUUCUGGUGAGAGCCCAGAGAGAGAAGAGGACCCAGUCCUCGUAGAGAAUGCCUAAGGGGCCCUGAACAGAAUGCUGGCCGAAACCUGGACGUCAAGGCCAUUCUGAUGAGCUCUCGGAUGGAAAUGAGGAUCAGGCUCUCUCUUUAUAACAAGAGUUGUAAUCCUUGUGAUAAAGCAGCCCGGCUGGAUUAAGCGUGCGUGUCCUAGUUUGGUAGAAGGUAGGACUUGUGAGCCGUGAAAUCAGAUCUUCGCUGAGGGAAUUUCCAAGCAAAGUGGAAGAGCUGAAGGAGGGGCCUGGUUUCUUUUGAAUACUCCCAGUAAAACACAAGAAGAGAGGAAUGGUCUAAAGAUGGAACUGGUAACCAGAAAGGAAGCAGACCUUAAAAAUUUGGAAAAUUCUCAGCUUUCCCUUAUUGAAAAUAAUGCAAAAGCCUGUUCAGAGAGGGCACGAAGGGUGUGGCCGAAAUGAUAAGGAGAUUGGCGUGGAUAGGCCUUCCCAGCUAAGCUAGGAGCCAUCUGUCAGGACAAUGGGGAGAUUAGUCAGCCACGUAAACAGAAGCCGGGGCCUACUGUCCCAGACGGUGGAAGAAUGACCCCAAGGCAUUUCAGAGACCAUGGAGGUGCCCCUCCCAUCACAGGCCCAAGAGCCUGUGGGGCAGAUUUCAAGCCUCUGCUCCCAGCUUUCUGGUACCACCUCUGCCAGUGCACAGAAAGCAAGAGCCAUGGGGGCCUUGCCACCUGCACCUGGAUUUUGAAGGAUGGAGUGACCUGGAGCCUUGGGCUCACGACCCAGGCAGAGACCCAUGCCCCAUACAGGUGGGGCCGCUGCAGAGAGCCCUACUAGGGUGACCCUAGAUGGACAGAGACAUCGGGAGCUGCAGGUGAGACCCAUGAACAGUUAGCCGUUAAUGACUAGCUGGCUCGUAACGG
rnacentral:lncRNA from 1 species